UUACGGCCACAUCAUGCUGAAACACAGGCUUCCGUGUCAUCACUGAAGUUAAGCAACGUCGAACUUGGUCAGUACCUAGAUCGGUGACCGCCUGGGAAUACCAAAUUCUGUA